GUAAGGAACCCAGCUUCUGUGUGGUGGGCACUGAGAGCAGAACCGCAUUGAGUCGGAGUGGAGCACAGAAGUGAGUCCCAGGACACCGGAACCAGGACUCCCCGGCGCACCCGGAGAGUUUCCGAGCUCCUUUGAAGUAUGAAUCAGAACUUCUGGAUGGGAAUCCUGGAGCCACCACUUGCCCUAUGGUCGCAAUGGGCAAGUCGCUCAACCUCCCAGAUCCUGUUUUCUCAUGAGUAAAACGGGGAUUAUAAUACCCACCUGACAAUAUUAUUUUUGUGAGAAUUAAAUGAGUUUAGAAUGUAAA
rnacentral:lncRNA from 10 species